GACGAACGCUGGCGGCGCGCCUAACACAUGCAAGUCGAACGAGCGAGAGAGAGUUUACUUUUUCGAGCGAGUGGCGAACGGGUGAGUAACGCGUGAGGAACCUGCCUCAAAGAGGGGGACAACAGUUGGAAACGACUGCUAAUACCGCAUAAGCCCACGACCCGGCAUCGGGUAGAGGGAAAAGGAGCAAUCCGCUUUGAGAUGGCCUCGCGUCCGAUUAGCUAGUUGGUGAGGUAACGGCCCACCAAGGCGACGAUCGGUAGCCGGACUGAGAGGUUGAACGGCCACAUUGGGACUGAGACACGGCCCAGACUCCUACGGGAGGCAGCAGUGGGGAAUAUUGCACAAUGGGGGAAACCCUGAUGCAGCGACGCCGCGUGGAGGAAGAAGGUCUUCGGAUUGUAAACUCCUGUUGUUGAGGAAGAUAAAUGACGGUACUCAACAAGGAAGUGACGGCUAAACUACGUG
rnacentral:rRNA from 1 species